UAAGUGCCGCCGCCAUUUUUCUUGCAGAAGGCAAGCCCGAGCCUCCCAUCGCCAAAAGCCACCGUGGCCAGCCCCUGAAGCCAGACUAGACCAUGCCGCAGCUCCUCUGCCUCCUUCCUCUCUCUCUCUUUCUCCUUCUCUGUCGCUUCUCUCUCCCUCCGUCCCGCGGCUCACCUUGCCUGUCUCUCUCUAUUUUGGUUUCACAGGAACACCGACGCCACUGAACGAGCACCAUCGGGACGCCGCCAUGGCCUCCCUUGCUCACCCCGCCGUCCAGAUCAGGCCGGGAACCGCCGCCCCGCCGCCCUCUUGUUCGGUUCCAGCUGCCUGGCCCUGCCGUCGUCAGAGCUCCGAAGCAUGAUGCCAUGGACCUCCCCGUCGCGCAUCCAUGCAAUGGUCGCCCCUCUCCUCCUCACAGGUCCUGGACCCCUGCGCCCCGUCACCGGCAUCCAGCGCCGUCAUGGAUUCGCGCCAAGGGAACCUCGCCGCGCCCCUCCGUCGUUUCUUCCUCGCCGCCGCACUUUUGUUCCAGCGUCGCUCCUCUGUUUCCGUUCGAGUAGAGACGAGCGCUCGCCCGCCUUCGUUGACCACGCGAGGACUCAGCCCGCGGUAGGCCCAGCCUGUUUCCCCUCUAGAGCCGGCCUGCCUUGGCCUCUCCUCCCCGAUCUGGGCUUGGCCCAUGGGUGAGGCCACCCCAAUCGGCUCCUCCUUUUUUUCGUACUGCUGGGCCAGUCAGUUUCAGCCCAGUGGAUGUUUUUUUGGUUCUGCGAAUUUAGCUAUUUUCCAGGGAUUUGCAGAUUUACAGAAAACCCCCUAGCCUUCAUGCAUUUAAUAUCUCACAAACUAAGCAUCACAUGUAAAAACUUUGUAUAUGAAACUUGCUUAGUUUUUCAUCUAGUUUCAUAAUAUGUCUUUUUCAUCCAUGUUUAAAAUGUUUAAAAUGUUGUUUGUUUAAAUUUGCUUUAAUAACUUGCUAAAAUGGUUUAAUUCAUAACUAAAUAACCGUAGCUCCAUUUUAAAUAAACUUUAUUUGUAAUUGGGGUAGGAAAAUGCCUAGUUUAUCAUGGUGUACUCACUUUGCAUGUUUAACAACCCUAAAAUUGUGUUUAGGGCAGAACAGUACCAAACCUAAAAUAUGCACACGAGGAGUUUCCGGACUUGUUGUUUUGUUGUUCCGGCCUCAUUUAAACUUGACUAGAUAGGUAGUUUUACUUUGCUUCACCCUCUUGCCAUCUUUUAACAACAUUUAAUAUUGUGGGGUACAUAAACAAGAUCGAACUAAAUAACUUGAAUGUGGUGUUUCGUCAAUAUGCAAUGGAGUUGCAUAUUGAGCUCCACUUAAUUUCUAGGGUUGUUUGUGCACUUUGCCAUGCCAUGCCUCAUUAAACCGGACAUGCAUCAUACUUGUUUGUGCAUCGUGCCAUGCUUAUGUGAAGUUUGUUUACUAUGUUGGUUGCUUCUUUCUGGUGUUGCUUCUUCGGGUUAGUUCCGAUAACGUCGCCUUUGUGAGGAUUCGUUUGACUACGUCCGUUUGUCUUCUUCAUGGACUCGUUCUUCUUCCUUGCGGGAUCUCAGGCAAGAUGACCAUACCCUCGAAAUCACUUCUAUCUUUGCUUGCUAGUCGCUCGCUCUUUUGCUAUGCCUAUGCUGCGAUACCUAGCACCUGCUUAUCAUGCCUCCCAUAUUGUUGAACCAAGCCUCUAACCACCUUGUCCUAGCAAACCAUUGUUUGGCUAUGUUACUGCUUUGCUCAGCCCCUCUUAUAGCGUUGUUAGUUGCAGGUGAAGAUUGGAGCUUGUUCCAUGUUGGAAUAUGGAUAUUUUGUUGGGAUAUCACAAUAUCUCUUAUUUAAUUAAUGCAUUUAUAUACUUGGUAAAGGGUGGAAGGCUCGGCCUUAUGCCUGGUGUUUUGUUCCACUCUUACCGCCCUAGUUUCUGUCAUAUCGGUGUUAUGUUCCCGGAUUUUGCGUUCCUCACGUGGUUGGGUUAUAAUGGGAACCCCUUGAUAGUUCGCCUUGAAUAAAACUCCUCCAGCAAGGCCCAACAUUGGUUUUACCAUUUGCCACCUAGCCUUUUUCUUUCCCUUGAGUCGGCCGACUCAAGGCUCAUCUUAUUUUAACCCCCCCGGGCCAGUGCUUCUCUAAGUGUUGGUCCAAACUGAGCGAUGUCCGAGGCUACCAAGGGCAAGGCUGGCUUACCCGAUGUCUUGCUCAUCCGGUGUGCCCUAAGAACGAGAUAUGUGCAGCUCCUAUCGGGAUUUGUCGGCACAUCUGGGUGGCUUUGCUGGUCUUGUUUUACCAUUGUCGAAAUGUCUUGUAACCGAGAUUCCGAGCCUGAUCGGGUCUUCCCGCUAGAAGGAAUAUCCUUCGUUGACCGUGAGAGCUUGUGAUGGGCUAAGUUGGGACACCCCUGCAGGGAUUUGAACUUUCGAAAGCCGUGCCCGCGGUUAUGGGCAGAUGGGAAUUUGUUAAUGUCCGAUUGUAGAAAACCUGAAGUCCAUCUUAAUUAAAAUACAUCAACCGCGUGGGUAACCGUGAUGGUCUCUUUCCAGUGGUGUCUGGGAAGUGAACACGGUGUUGGAGUAAUGUUUGACGUAGGUUGUUUUAGGAUCACUUCUUGAUCAUAGUUGUUCGACCGUGCUUUUGCCUUCUCUUCCCGCUCUCUUUUGCGAAUAUGUUAGCCACCAUAUAUGCUAGUCGCUUGCUGCAGCUCCACCUCAUACCUUUACCUUACCCAUAAGCUUAAAUAGUCUUGAUCGCGAGGGUGUGAGAUUGCUGAGUCCCCGUGACUCACAGAUACUUCCAAAACCAGCUUGCAGGUGUCGUUGAACCAUGCAGGUGACGGAACCAAGCUCAAGGAGGAGCUCGAUGAAGACCGUGUUCGUUAUGUUGUUCCGUUUUUCAGUUGAUCAGUAGUGGAGCCCAGUUGGGACGAUCGGGGAUCUGUGUAGCAUUUGGGGUAGUCUUCUUUUAUUUUGGUUCAGUAGUCGGACCUUGAUUGUAUCUGGUUGAUGUAAUGCUUUAUUCAUGUAAUUGUGUGAAGUGGCGAUUGUAAGCCAACUAUGUAUCUCUUUUCCUUAUGUAUUACAUGGGUUGUGUGAAUAUUACCUCACUUGCAACAUUGCUUUAAAUGCGGUUAUGCCUCUAAGUCAUGCUUCGACACAUAGGAGAUAUAGCCGCAUCGAGCGUGUUACAAGUUGGUAUCAGAGCCUUCCCCGACCUUAGGAGCCCCUGCUUGAUCGAAUCGCUGGCGUUAUUGAGUCUAGAAAUGUUUUGAGUCAUUGAGAAUUAUAUAUAUCGGAGAGUUAGGACUUCUUUUUACUCCUCAGUCCCUUCAUCGCUCUGGUGAGGCAUCCUGACGUAGAGUUUUGACUCUUCUCUUCUCAAAUUUCACAAAAAAAAUUUAGGAUCACGCGGGUAUCUUGGAAUCGUUCCGGUGGUUUUGUGACGAGAACAUUGUUCUUGGUGCCUCCUGUCAUUUAGGGGUUGUGGCAGUGUCCCGGGGAGUUGAGCUCCGAGGUGUUGUCGUCACAAUUUUAUCGUUGCAAUUUUGGAAUACCUGAGUUUCGCCGACAUCAAAAUCUCUUUUAUGCAGUUGUUACUGAGAUAACCUCGACGCCACCCAGUACUGGGGCGGGAGUUCGGGAGUAUUGCCAUAACUCGUAUAACGGAUGCUUUUCGAAGGUUGAGGUAAACGAUUUCCGAAGGUUUCUUGGUCAUGUGUUGAAGGAUGGAUACAGCUGGAUGUAGGAUUUGUUAGUUUUGGAUGAGAUAUUAUGCUUCCGCUGUAUCCCCCACACCUGAUUGCAUAACUAGAAAAUUUCGGGAGUUUAUAAGUGGGAAUUCAAGUAGCUCUUAGGAUAUCUUUCCAACAGAUGUAUGAUAUGAAAUUGGGGUUCGACGUCUAGUGGUCCGCCUAUUCACGGUUGGUUUUACAGUGGUCUCGUUGUGUCUUAAAGAGUCCUUGGUUAUGCCGACUCGGGGAUGCUUCAUAUGUCAUGUGCACUGCCUUGUACAUGAUGGUGCUGUACGAUCGAGCCCGUGUAGGCCCCACCACGAAAACUUCGGACGCAAUCUCUAUCAUAUGUUUGUUCCGGCUUAUUUUGCAAGCCAAUCCUUUGUUUGUUUUCGGUUGUGGUAUUCGAGUUGCUUCAAAGUCAAAUAUUGAUUCCAUACCUUUCCUAAGUGGUGUUCUCAUAUUCCUAUGGGAGUACUAGUCCUUCAUGAUAAUCGAGAGUGUCAUGUCAAUUCUUUUCAACCGGCGUGUCUCUCUUCAUGUGGAUCCGUUCAUUUCAACAUCUGCAAGAUCAAGUAUCAGUUCUUCUCAACGGUGUUCAUUUCUUCCGUCUCCAAGUUGCCUUUGUUUUUCCCACCCUCCCACCCCUUUUUCUUCCAGGAACCCGAUGUAUUAAUCAAAUAUCCAUUUUAUUCAUGUGAAGUCUCUCCAUUCUUUUCCUUCAUGUUCUUACCCGGUGAUUCUCAUGAAGAUUCUAACGGAGGUUCAAGUUCGUCACUCUUCACUCGUUUUCUUCUCCGGUGGGUCCUAUUCAAGCUUUGUCGAUCAUAUCCUUUUCCUCGUUUCUAAUGCCUUCUCAUGCUUGUGCACCUCAUAAUAAUUCACUUCUCGCUAUUCAUUUGUUACGGCGUGCUCAAGAUAUCUCAAAAGGCUCGUCUUGUCAUUCAAGAUCUGUUCAACCUAUUUCGAGGUUGUUAUCUCAUUCUAGCCAUUUAAUUCAACCGGUGCAAUCCUCUCUUUUAAAUCAUUUCAACGGUGUUUCUUUUGUGUGGGCCCUAACCCACAGGUCUUUUCCCAGGAUCUUACCUGACUCUUCUAAUUUUUCCGGAGUUAUUCUCAAAUUCUUUUCUAAAGUUUGACGUAAGAAUGAUUUAUCAUUAGUCAAAUGUCUUUCUCCAAGAUCGGUUAAAUUCUUUCAUUGUUGGUUCAACCUUUCCAUUUUCAUCCCGGAGUAUCUCAACAAUUAGGUGGUGUUUCUCAUCGUCAUUCUCAGAUAUUGAAGACCGAAGAAGAGUUUCUCUUUACUCUUGCUCCAUUCUCUUCAAGAUUCAUGGUGCUAGGUUGUUGCCAUCCUCUCAUAAUUAUUUUCGAUGGUGAGAAUCCUUUUCACCCAUUAGGAGAUAUUCAAGGGUAUUUUCAGUUCGAUUAUCCGGAGCCCAUCAUUUCAGAAGACUUGUUCAUUCUCAGCUUUCAGCUCUUGUUCCCCAAAUCUAACUGGUGCAUCAUUCAAUAUUCUUUAAUCAACGCGUGAUCUCUUUGUUCUCAUGUAUCUAAAUCCUAGCAAGUAUUUUCGUUCAUUUGCUAAUUCCUCCCGGUGUUUCUUUAUCUUCUCUUUGUUCAUUUUUAAUUCUUACGGUGGUUCGUUCAAGAUUACUCUUCCUUAUCAAUUCAUUCAUGGUUUCAAUUCUACCGGUGGUUCAUUGAAGACCUUCCUGAAGUUUGCGCUAUAUCUAUAUUAAUCCUUUUUACGAGAAUAAGUAGUAUGCCAAUUCCAUUGCUUGUCAUCAAUUUAAAUUGGUGAAGGAUAAGCAUAAUGUAAUUCUUAUUCUUGUUUCAUCCAUAUGUUAAUCUUUUCUUCCGGAGUUUGUUCGCGAUGAUUAAAUUCUUGGUUUCAAGUGCUCGUAUUUCUUUCCCAGAGUUCCAAGCUCUAAUUAUCACGGAGAUCCAUCUAAAUCAUUACAAGGUGUCACCUUGUGUUUCCGACUUCCCUUUACUUUCGUUAUUCUUUUUUUGUCUACCGGAGUUCUUCAUGAAGGUUCUACAUGUUGGUUCAUCAAGGAUUUAUAUCCCUUCUCCAAGUGUUCAUUGAGAUUCUUUUCUAAGGAGCUCAAGCAUUCUUCAUCUUUCUAUCCGGAGUGCAAUUCUUUCUAUCAUAUCAUUGGAGGUGGUAUUAUGUCAUUUUUGAUAAUUUGAGUUCAUGUCUCAUGAUUCACAUGUUGUCAAGAAUGAGUUAUUUAAAUCCAUCAAUCUCGUCAUUGGAGUUAUCUUGGCUUAUGUUCCACCUAAAGCUUUCCCUAAGGAUUGUUGCUAUUUAUGGUGCCCAUAUAGGACCCAAGUUCUUCUUUCAUCCUUCCGGUGAAAUAAGCUUUCUCGUCUCCUUGUUCAUACCAAUCCAAUUCUUUUUCCCGUGAGUGGCAGGUUGUCACCUCAUAAUUUUGAGAUGUAUUACAUAAGACCAUAUCAAGCUUAUUCUUUUUGUUGUUGGUUUUUCCAACAACUCCGUUCGACCCUUCUCCUAAGGAUGCCUUCUCAAGCUCUUUUGUGGCAUAAGAUGGCAUUUUCGUCUCCAUUCUUUUAUUUCAAUUAUCUAUCUUCUAUUCUUUUGUUCCGGAGCCAAUUUCAUGUUGCUCUUUUCUCUCAUCAUCUUGGAUCGUGUUCUUUUCGUGCUUAUCCAUUCAACCGGAGUGUUUUGUCCUUUUUGUUGAAGUUCUUUUCGCCUUAUCAAGCCUUGCAUCCCUUCUCAACUAGAGUGCUGCUCAAAGUUAUUCUUCCUUGUUCCUCUUUGCUAACGGAGUGUUUUCAGCUUCGUCAUCUCCGUUGUAUUCUUUUCUUGAAAUGGUUUAACCUUUGCAAGGUUCUUUGGUUUCACUCGUUUGUCAAAGGAGCAACUUAGUUUUACCGUUUAUCUUCUUCCUCUGUUUUUCCCUCCGGUGCCAUUCUAGAUCUCAGGACGAGAUCCUCUCGUAAUGGUGGAGUGUUGUGACGCCCCGAGACCAUUGCGCCAGGUGUCUUCCAGUUAUUUUCUGUUGUUGCCCUGUCAUUUUCUUGUGUGUCGCAUCUUGUCAUGUCAUCAUCCGCAUUGCAUCUGCAUGUUUUCAAAACUUGAAUUCGUCCGAGUUCCCCCAGUUCCAUCCGUUGUCCGUUCUGAGCCCAGACACACUCGCACGCGCCCGCGGCACGUCCGAAUAUUAUUUUAUAAGUGGCCGGAAAAUGUUCUCGGAAUGGGUUGAAAGUUGGUGUGCGGUCUUAUUAUACUAUAGAUAGACCGCCCGGUAAAUUUCAUCGCAUUCGGAGUUUGUUUGACGCCCCAACGGAUAACUAUAGCGGCAUUAUAGCCGGUCUAACGUCGGACGUUUUCGGUCUCCGGAAACAGUCGCCGGGCCUCCCUCUCUUCUCUUCUCUUAGCUCGAGACCGUCUACACAGCCCAUGACCUACCGCCAGGUCCAACCUAACCUCUCUCGUCAGCCCGCGGCCCUCCUCGCGCGCGCGCCCGAAAGUUGUCCCAGACCCGACCCGGGGAGUUGUCACCGUUGGACUCAGAUCAUCCCCAAACAUCUACAAAACGUCUCCGUUUUCUUAUUUGUGCUCCCUAGCCUAUUUUUCCCGACCGUCCGAUUACGAUCAGAGGGACCGAGGUAGCCCCUAACCUAAUAUGUGACGUAUAUAUAGUCCACCCUUAGUCUUUUGGACAAACCCUAAAAUCUAGGGACUUUGUCCCGUUGAGCCGCCGCCACCUACCGCAUCUACCUCGGGAUCCCCUUCUCCUCAUUUUUCCUCCACCCACCAACCAGCUCUGUCCACUGCUACUCAUCGAUCCAAAUUUCCCUCGGCCUCCAACCUGUAGACCUUCUGCUCGAUCCAGAUGGGAUCGAGGCUAUGCCCCUCGUCCCCGCGCCCCUGUUUCGCUCGAUCCGGAUCGGGGGCAGCCCAAUUCCGAGCACCUCGCGCCGCCCGACCAUCUUCCCCCCGUCGUCGCCUCCAGCGACCAGGCAUCUGGAUCCACCGCCGCCUACCCUAGGUCACGCCGCCCAAGCAGAGCAACGCGACUCCCCUUCUCUUCUUUUUAUCCUGUGCCCUCCUUCUGCUCUAAGUGCCGCCGCCAUUUUUCUUGCAGGAGCCAAGCCCGAGCCUCCCAUCGCCAAAAGCCACCGUGGCCAUCCGCCGAAGCCAGACUAGAUAGACCAUGCCGCAGCUCCUCUGCCUCCUUCCUCUCUCUCUUUCUCCUUCUCUAUUGCUUCUCUCUCCCUCCGUCCCGCAGCUCACCUUGCCUGUCUCUCUCUAUUUCGGUUUCACAGGAACACCGGCGCCACUGAACGAGCACCAUCGGGACGCCGCCAUGGCCUCCCCUGCUCACCCCGCCGUCCAGAUCAGGCCGGGAACCGCCGCCCUCUCGUUCGGUUCUAGCUGCCUGACCCUGCCGUCGUCAGAGCUCCGAAGCAUGAUGCAAUGGACCUCCCCGUCGCGCCUCCAUGCAAUGGUCGCCCCUCUCCUCCUCACAGGUCCUGGACCCCUACGCCUCGUCACCGGCGUCCAGCGCCGUCAUGGAUUCGCGCCAAGGGAACCUCGCCGCGCCCCUCCGUCGUUUCUUCCUCGCCGC
rnacentral:lncRNA from 1 species